AUUGAACGCUGGCGGCAGGCCUAACACAUGCAAGUCGAGCGGUAGAGAGGUGCUUGCAUCUCUUGAGAGCGGCGGACGGGUGAGUAAUGCCUAGGAAUCUGCCUAGUGUGGGGGAUAAACGUUCGGAAACGGACGCUAAUACCGCAUACGUCCUACGGGAGAAAGCGGGGGAUCUUCGGACCUCGCGCCAUUAGAUGAGCCUAGGUCGGAUUAGCUAGUUGGUGAGGUAAUGGCUCACCAAGGCGACGAUCCGUAACUGGUCUGAGAGGAUGAUCAGUCACACUGGAACUGAGACACGGUCCAGACUCCUACGGGAGGCAGCAGUGGGGAAUAUUGGACAAUGGGCGAAAGACCUGAUCCAGCCAUGCCGCGUGUGUGAAGAAGGUCUUCGGA
rnacentral:rRNA from 1 species